CCUCUUCAAUUAAACUCUUUAGAGGAGAGACUGAAGCAUAAUCAGGUAGAAAAUGCAUCGGUCUUUCACCUCUUGCGCGACUCCAAGGUGGACGGCACAAAACCUUUCUUUCGCCUCCUCUCCAGGGGGAGUUGUCCCGCCCACCAAAUCUAAGCUUUCUGCAGAGGCUCUUCCUUCUGAGCCUUAUAUCUCCAUAUUUGUGAGUUUUUAGUAGUUCUAUUUCUCUUUGUGUGGAUGUAUGGUUCUGAUUCCCAGAGGUGCAAUCGGUCAGGGUAGCCGGGAUCGUAGACCCGUUACUUUUUUGGGAGCAGGGUUCCAGCCAGGUCCCUGCGUAUCAGCAUGAAAAAGGAAUGUGUUAGCCACUGAAAAGAGACCUUGCCCUUUCAUGCUGAUUGGAGGCAAUCAGCGUGAAAGGAGGUGUGUCAGCCAUUGAGAAGACUCUUCUCAGUAGCUAACCCACAGCCUCCCGUCAUGCUGAUCUUGCUCCUAGGGGCCUCUGUUGUCGUGGAGUGUGGACUUGCAAUAUGACAGCGAGAACAAGGAGAGAAGGGACAGUAGGAAAAGGAGCGUGGCUGUGACGGGCGUAGUGUGACUAUGAUGAAGGGAUCCUACACUUCUGAAUUUGACACUACUGGUGGUUCCCUGGGUGCCAGCCUGCGUUCCUUUCAGUUACUUAGUGAAUAGCAUUUUUUUUCCUUUCACUGCGUCCUGUUCAUGUUCCUUAGGGCAGGGUUUGUUGGCCGCUGGCUGAUUUCAGCGGUUCUGUUGUUUGAGGGAGUGCGACUUGUGCUGAGACGGCUGGUGGCUCGGCGGUUUCUGCUUCCCGCUUAUUGCAUGUCUGCCAUUUGUCGUACCAGUGGUUGCAGCGACUUGGACAUUGUGCCGUUGUGACCACCUUCUCUUCUGUUGCUCCAUUUCCUCCCUUUCAGAGGGGAUACGGAGCGGCGGUUUCCUCAGAGGCGGCACUUCUAUUUUAUCCGCUUGCGGCUGCCGCCGUUUGCUCCUUUCGGCUGCGUGCGCAGUGAUUCCCUUGCCCCUUCGACUUAUUGACCUUCUCCGACCGCUAUCGAUAUCAACAAUUGAUGGAGGGGGGGUUCCCGCUGCCACUCUGUCUGCGGCUAGGAUUGCGUGGCGUGCCAUUGCGCGCCAUCUGUGUUUUCCCGCCGUUAGGAGCAGAAGAGGGCCUGCGUACUGGCUUCCUCCAUUGGUUCCAUGGCUUCUUCCUGCACACACAGCCAGGAUGCUCUUUUUGGUGGGGAGGUUUCUCCAGUGCUGAUGACACACAUUUUCAUCUUGCAAGGAGGCUUAAUGAGCAAGUCCUAUGCAUGUCUACUCAGAAGCAAGGCAUAUUCAUUUUAAUGGGAUUCACUCGCAAGCAAGGUGACACUAGGAAGGGGAAGGCAGAGAGGUGGUUGUGACAGACAUUCACAGAAGUUGAUAGAAAAAGAGAAAAAAGCAAGAAAGUGGGAGAAGACUCAGCUCUCUAGUUUAUCUACACUCUAUUUCCGAACCCGGUCAGCCUGUGUGCAGUUAACCAAGGAUUCAAAGAAUCAGGCAACAACUGAAGAAGAUUUCUAAUGACUGUCAGGACUCCCCAACCUUGAAGAAAAAUAACAUGGGACAUUAAAACAGCAUUUGCCAAAAACGGAUGGUCCCCGAGAGAUUCAUGCACCACUAGGCUGGGGGAGAGAAUUUCUGCAACACCAAAACUACCAGUGUACGUUUCUCAUUGUUUUGUGACUGACAACCACUGACUUAAAAAAAUAAUGUUGUGAACUUCCAGUUGAGGGUUGUCUAAAACCAAGGCCUACAGGAUGGACAUUAUCAAGGUUAGAAAAAUGUACAACAUGGUGCAUAAUAUCAUUAGGAACAGAAACAAUUUUAUUUAAUUAUGGUAGUAAAACUAUAAUUUCAUAUAUAUGUUGAUAACAGCAAAAAUAUACUAAAUGGAAAUCUGCUAAUCUUUUAUUGUUGUGUUCCAAAUAUUUUACUGUUAUAUUUUUGUCCUGCCUUGUGCCUUGAGGUCCGUUGAGGAGAUGUGAGAUAUGAAUGGAUUGAUUAAUUAAUUAUCUGAUGCCCCUUAGAGAAUGGUUUAAUAAACGGUGGCAUGGCAGCAAGUUGGGGCACUUCCAGACUUGGCAAUAUUUUGGGGUGGGAUUCAAUCCCACACCAGCAAAUUCAGGUUGCACAAUUAUAGUUGAUUAAGAAGACUUGCAAAUCAAACUAGCUUGUUUGUGACAAGGCAAGUGAUGGAAAAUGCACUGGAACGUGUGGGAUAACACUUACUUUGUCACAAUGUCCAUCUAACCUUGCUGCAAACAAAUCAGAAUGAAUGCUCAUUAAAAAGCCAAUGCCAUCUAAUCUCCCUGCAAACAAAUCAGGAUAAAUGCUCAUCCAAUAGAUUUUUCUGGACGCACCCUUAGUUAACAAACUAGAAACAAAAUAGGCAGGAUCUGUUUUUUAAAGGCAAUGUUUAUUCUGUUUGGGGGCCCUUUGUGAGAAUACUGAUGAGUCAUAAGUUAAACAAAAUACAGAUAUAUGAGCUUUAAUUCAUAUUCUGAUACAUCUGAAUUCCUCUUCUCUUAUACUGGUUUCAUUUGAGUUUUCUUUCUAUUGUGGGGGAGCGGG